AGUGAACGCUGGCGGUAGGCCUAACACAUGCAAGUCGAACGGCAGCACAGUAAGAGCUUGCUCUUACGGGUGGCGAGUGGCGGACGGGUGAGGAAUACAUCGGAAUCUACUUUUUCGUGGGGGAUAACGUAGGGAAACUUACGCUAAUACCGCAUACGACCUACGGGUGAAAGCAGGGGAUCUUCGGACCUUGCGCGAUUGAAUGAGCCGAUGUCGGAUUAGCUAGUUGGCGGGGUAAAGGCCCACCAAGGCGACGAUCCGUAGCUGGUCUGAGAGGAUGAUCAGCCACACUGGAACUGAGACAAGGUCCAGAAUCCUACGGGAGGCAGCAGUGGGGAAUAUUGGACAAUGGGCGGAAGCCUGAUCCAGCCAUACCGCGUGGGUGAAGAAGGCCUUCGGGUUGUAAAGCCCUUUUGUUGGGAAAGAAAAGCAGCAGGUUAAUACCCCGCUGUUCUGACGGUACCCAAAGAAUAAGCACCGGCUAACUUCGUG
rnacentral:rRNA from 1 species